AGGCUUAGUUGUUAUUGUUGUUGUUCUUGGGAUAGGUGUAGAGCAAGAGAAGAUGCUAGUUCAAUAUCCAUGACCAUGACUCUCUACAUAUCCAUAUUUCAUUGUUAUAGUGCCCCAAAUGAAUAAACGUUAACGAAAAAAAUGAGAAAAGGAAACCCAACACACUAAGAAAAGGGUGAUUUCAAUUGCAUACAAGAUAGCAAGGUCCAAUUCUUUAUAUUAUGAUAUAGUCUAACAUAAUGAGUUCGUUUAGUAGAGAUGACUCCCAUCAUUUCAAACGCAUAUUUUUAUAGGUUUCAUCUGUUAUCACCAAACACCACACCCCCCCACCCAUAACCCAACAAAU
rnacentral:misc_RNA from 1 species